GAUUUCUGGUAAGAUACAUUUAGCCGGCCACGGUUUCGUGUGUUAGUGCUUGAUGUUCUGGCCAUCCUUCCAAUUGCUAUAUACCUUUCUUCAUUGAUUGGUAUGUGGUAUUGGAUCUUUUACUUUGAAAAAAUUAGAGUGUUUCAAGCAGGCUUUAUGCUAUGAAUACAUUAGCAUGGAAUAAUAAUUUAGGACUUCGGUUCUAUUUUGUUGGUUUCUAGGACUGAAGUAAUGAUUGAUAGGGAUAGUUGGGGGUGCUAGUAUUCAGCGGCCAGAGGUGAAAUUCUCGGAUUCGCUGAAGACUAACUUAUGCGAAAGCAUU
rnacentral:rRNA from 2 species